rnacentral:lncRNA from 1 species
AUUUAUAUAGGCAGAUGGCCCCCAAUUUUUGAAAAAUAAUAAGAUCGAUGACAGUGUUGAAAAUCGACAGUUUUCACUAAAAUAAACUUUAAACUACCGAACUGUGUCGUUUUUAAUAAUAACAUAUUCUCAGUAUUGAUGUAAAAUGGAUUUAAAAUACGACAGGUACAGGCAUUUCGCGUUAAAAUUGCUGAAUUCGGCCAUUUCAGACUCAAAAUUCGCUUAUUAGCAACCCUUGCUUCAAGUAACAAUUUAUAACAGCUAUUUCAUUUGUUAAUUCUAUUUAAUAUUUUCCUAACCAGAAACUGAAGCAAGGGUUGCUAAUAAAUGAAUUUUGGAAAAAAAUGAUAUUAUUUGUCUGGCCUUUCUCACGUAUAAGAGUGGCCUCCCUUGAAGCCAGGUGCUCGUUGCCAGGCAAUAUUAUAGGUGGCGUCGCUGUCAACAUGUGCAUGUGAAAACGAAAGUAGAUUGUUUAUCUAGGAAUUAUUACAACAUUUUACCCUUCUACGUUGAAUUUUUAAGAUAUAAUAGUAUGAAUAUAGAGAUGAUUAUUUAGUUACCUUCAACUGGUCAGUGGUCAAAAGGGAGUAUGUCUGUGUGUCUUGAAGCAUUGAAUGCCUCCAAAACAACCAGUAUGAUAAGAAGGUGUACAAUCUGGGUUGAAAACAGCCAUGGACAAUGAAUUUGGAGGUGCUUGCUGGAGCAUCAGAAAUUAAUACUUGGAAUAAAUAAUUGCACAAUACACAUUUACUGAGAAGUGACUAAUGUUUAUGUUAAAGUGCAAUAUCCAUGUUUGUAACAUUUACAUGGGGGUAAUAGUUACAGUGUUGAAAGAGACUACCAGUGUUACAUUUCAAACUAAGUUACAGUGUGGAUGCUAAUUCUAAAUUCUUGAUAAUCAAGUGUUUUUAAUAACUUAUGAAUACUAAUUAUUUAUCAAACUGGUUAAUUUAUCACAUUCCUACAUCAUUAUUUUAUAUAAAAUGCUUGCA